GCUCGUGGAUCGAUGAAGACCGCAGCUAAAUGCACUUCAGAAUGUGAACUGCAAGACACAUGAACACCGACAAGUUGAACGCAACAACAGUACGAUGUACACAUUUUUGAAGGCCUAUAUUUAUCCAUUCAACUGUACGUGCGUGCACGUCCGGCCGGCCGAACGGCUGGCGCGAGGACAGGCGCACCCCGUACGCGUAGUGACGUUUUCUUGGCCCAGCCCGGUAAAACGUUCAAGAUAGUCAGGCGCGCCCCGACCGGGCGCGAUUGAUGAAUACAUCCCCUAGACCAACGAGCUUGGUUAUGUUGUAUUUCAUCGGCAGUACCGCCACCACCCAGUAGGCCUCAAAUAAUGUGUGACUACCCCCUAAAUUUAAGC
rnacentral:rRNA from 1 species